rnacentral:rRNA from 1 species
CGUGAGGGAAAGGUGAAAAGAACCCCGGGAGGGGAGUGAAAGAGAACCUGAAACCGUAUGUCUACAAGCAGUCGGAGCGAAAGCGACGGCGUGCCUAUUGAAGAAUGAACCAACGAGUUACGUGCACUAGCGAGGUUAAGUGGAAGACACGGAGCCGAAGCGAAAGCGAGUCUUAAGAGGGCGGAUAGUUAGUGUACGUAGACCCGAAACCGCAGUGAUCUACCCAUGUCCAGGUUGAAGCGCAGGUAAAAUUGCGUGGAGGACCGAACCUGUGAGCGUUGAAAAGCUUUAGGAUGAGAUGUGGGUAGAGGUGAAAUUCCAAUCGAACGCGGAGAUAGCUGGUUCUCCCCGAAAUAGCUUUAGGGCUAGCCUCAAGUAGUAAGUAUAGGCGGUAGAGCACUGAUCGGGCUAGGGGCCAUAAAGGUUACCGAACCCUGUCAAACUCCGAAUGGUUAUACUGUAGAGCUUGGGAGUCAGACUACGAGUGAUAAGAUCCGUGGUCAAAAGGGAAACAGCCCAGACCACCAGCUAAGGUCCCCAAUGUCGUACUAAGUGGAAAAGGAUGUGGGGUCUCUAAAACAACCAGGAUGUUGGCUUAGAAGCAGCCACCAUUUAAAGAGUGCGUAAUAGCUCACUGGUCGAGAGACCCUGCGCCGAAGAUUACCGGGGCUAAAGUACGAAACCGAAGCUGUGGCUACGACAUAUGUCGUGGGGUAGGGGAGCGUUCUGUGAGGGCUGAAGUCGUUCUGUAAGGAACGGUGGACUUCACAGAAGUGAGAAUGUUGGUAUGAGUAGCGAAAAGAAUGGUGAGAAUCCAUUCCACCGAAAGCAUAAGGAUUCCUGGGCAACGAUCGUCGUCCCAGGGUAAGUCGGGACCUAAUCCGAGGCAUGGAGCGUAGGAGAUGGACAACUGGCAGAUAUUCCAGUACCGGUAAUGAUUGUUUGAGCGAUGGAGUGACACAGGAGGGCAGGCAGGCAGGAGAUUGGUUGUUCCUGUACAAGCGUGUAGGAUGGGACGCAGGCAAAUCCGCGUCCUGUGAGUCUGAGGCGUGAUGUGGAGGUUCCGGAAACGGAACUGAAGCUGCUGACCCCACACUGUCGAGAAAAGCUUCUAGUUAGAGAAUUACCGCCCGUACCGUAAACCGACACAGGUAUGCGGGGAGAGAAUCCUAAGGUGCGCGGGAGAACCCUCGUUAAGGAACUCGGCAAAAUGUACCCGUAACUUCGGGAUAAGGGUAGCCGCUGUUGUGAAGUCUGAACAGACGGAGCAUGAGGCGGUCGCAGAGAAGAGGCCCAAGCGACUGUUUACCACAAACACAGGUGCCUGCUAAAGAGAAAUCUGACGUAUAGGUGCUGACACCUGCCCAGUGCCGGAAGGUUAAGGAAGGAUGUCCGGAGCAAUCCAAAGCAUUCGACCGAAGCCCCGGUGAACGGCGGCCGUAACUAUAACGGUCCUAAGGUAGCGAAAUUCCUUGUCGGGUAAG